rnacentral:rRNA from 2 species
AGGUGCGAUCAUACCAGCACUAAUGCACCGGAUGCCACCAGAACUCUGCAGUUAAGCGUGCUUGGGCGAGAAUAGUACUAGGAUGGGUGACCUCUUGGGAAGUCCUCGUGUUGAACCUC